AACGAACGCUGGCGGCAGGCCUAACACAUGCAAGUCGAACGAGAAGCUACCUUCGGGUGGUGGACAGUGGCAGACGGGUGAGUAACGCGUGGGAACGUGCCUUUCGGUUCGGGAUAACCCAGGGAAACUUGGGCUAAUACCGGAUACGCCCUUCGGGGGAAAGAUUCAUUGCCGAAAGAUCGGCCCGCGUCGGAUUAGCUAGUUGGUGGGGUAAAAGCCUACCAAGGCGACGAUCCGUAGCUGGUCUGAGAGGAUGACCAGCCACACUGGGACUGAGACACGGCCCAGACUCCUACGGGAGGCAGCAGUGGGGAAUAUUGGACAAUGGGCGCAAGCCUGAUCCAGCCAUGCCGCGUGGGUGAAGAAGGCCUUAGGGUUGUAAACCCCUUUCAGCGGGGAAGAUAAUGACGGUACCCGCAGAAGAAGUCCCGGCUAACUCCGUGCCAGCCGCCGCCGUAAGAC
rnacentral:rRNA from 1 species